AAGAAGGUACAGGUGAUUACUGCUAUUAUUAUUUUUGAAGCAGGAUAUAGCAUAUGUGUUUUAAGAUAGAUUUUAUUCUUAAGAUAUUCAAAUUACAUUUCACAGAGAUUUAUUUUAAGUUGGUGAAUUUUACAUUUUUCAGGUGAUGAUACUAAUGCUCAGUCUCAGUUGCAGACUUCUAGAACUUCUAGAUAUCAUUGGAAUUAUCAAAAUACACGAUGAUCUGAGGGAGAUAAAAAACAGACAUGAAAACAGACAAAGGCAAGCCAAAUUUAUCAGAGAUACAUAUGUACAUCUGAUGAGUAAAAUAAUUGUCUGCUUCCGGCCUACGUAUUAUUAUUGUAUUGCAUUCUUUUUUUUAUGUAAAAUUAGUUGUAUAACAUAACCAACAUGUUUUCUGUUGUGUAUACAAUGAUUUAAUAUCAGUACUAAAUUUGAGUUUCGAGGUCUGGAUGUUGUAAUUGAUCAUUAGUUGAAUGAAACUAGC
rnacentral:lncRNA from 1 species